ACUGGAAGGCCAAUAAGGCUGGGUCGGAUGAAGAAAGACUUUGCUGAUACACUCCUCCUCGUCAGAGGGGUUGAGAGAGCAUUCCCUUAAUGGAAAAAAAACCACAGGACUGACUGUACUACCCAACAUUU